rnacentral:rRNA from 1 species
ACCAGACUCCUACGGGAGGCAGCAGUGGGGGAUAUUGCACAAUGGGGGGAACCCUGAUGCAGCGACGCCGCGUGGGUGAAGAAGCGCCUCGGCGCGUAAAGCCCUGUCAGCAGGGAAGAAAAUGACGGUACCUGAAGAAGAAGCCCCGGCUAACUACGUGCCAGCAGCCGCGGUAAUACGUAGGGGGCAAGCGUUAUCCGGAUUUACUGGGUGUAAAGGGGGCGCAGACGGCGAUGCAAGCCAGGAGUGAAAGCCCGGGGCCCAACCCCGGGACUGCUCUUGGAACUGCGUGGCUGGAGUGCAGGAGGGGCAGGUGGAAUUCCUGGUGUAGCGGUGAAAUGCGUAGAUAUCAGGAGGAACACCGGUGGCGAAGGCGGCCUGCUGGACUGCAACUGACGUUGAGGCCCGAAAGCGUGUGGAGCAAACAGGAUUAGAUACCCGAGUA